GAAAAAAUUCAGCAAAUUGGAAAUUAUCUUCAUCGUCCUCUUCUGUUUGGUGGUGGCCGUGGCCUGUGUCCUCAUCGGGAUUUUAGCGACGCGAGAAACCGUAACUGAGAGCAGCCAAUUUUCCCCAAACUGCCCGAGCGUGACGAUAGCUGAGCGGAUCGACUGCAUCCCGGACCAAGUCGCCACCAAGAACCUCUGCGCCCUCCGCGGGUGCUGCUGGAGCCCCCAGGGUGACACCCAGGUGCCCUGGUGCUUCUUCUCCUCCCAGCACGGGUACAGAGU